GACGAACGCUGGCGGCGCGCUUAACACAUGCAAGUCGAACGGAAAGGCCUGCUUUCCCUUGUGGAUUGCGGGUACUCGAGUGGCGAACGGGUGAGUAACACGUGAGUGAUCUGCCCCCAACUUGGGUAUAAGCCUGGGAAACUGGGUCUAAUUCCCGAUAGGACUGCAGGGUGGUGCCUGUGGUGGAAAACGAUUUUCUAGUGGUUGGGGAUGAGCUCGCGGCCUAUCAGCUUGUUGGUGGGGUAAUGGCCUACCAAGGCGGCGACGGGUAGCCGGCCUGAGAGGGUGGACGGCAACAUUGGGACUGAGAUACGGCCCAGACUCCUACGGGAGGCAGCAGUGGGGAAUAUUGGACAAUGGGCGGAAGCCUGAUGCAGCGACGCCGCGUGGGGGAUGACGGCCUUCGGGUUGUAAACUCCUUUCGACCGCGAGGAAGCCACCUGGUUGGAAGGGUGGUGACGGUAGUGGUAGAAGAAGCACCGGCUAACUACGUG
rnacentral:rRNA from 1 species